CCUACGGGUGGCAGCAGUAGGGAAUAUUGCUCAAUGGGGGAAACCCUGAAGCAGCAACGCCGCGUGGAGGAUGAAGGUUUUAGGAUUGUAAACUCCUUUUGUGAGAGAAGAUAAUGACGGUAUCUGACGAAUAAGCACCGGCUAACUCCGUGCCAGCAGCCGCGGUAAUACGGAGGGUGCAAGCGUUACUCGGAAUCACUGGGCGUAAGGAGGGCGCAGGCGGGGUUGUAAGUCAGAUGUGAAAGCCUGUAGCUUAACUACAGAACUGCAUUUGAAACUAUGAGUCUAGAGUGUGGGAGAGGUAGGUGGAAUUCUUGGUGUAGCGGUAAAAUGCGUAGAUAUCAAGAGGAAUACUCAUUGCGAAGGCGACCUACUGGAACAUUACUGACGCUCAUGCACGAAAGCGUGGGGAGCAAACAGGAUUAGAUACCCUUGUAGUC
rnacentral:rRNA from 1 species